rnacentral:rRNA from 1 species
GACGAACGCUGGCGGCGCGCCUAACACAUGCAAGUCGAACGAGCAAAGAGGAGCUUGCUUCUCUGAGCGAGUGGCGAACGGGUGAGUAACGCGUGAGGAACCUGCCUCAAAGAGGGGGACAACAGUUGGAAACGACUGCUAAUACCGCAUAAGCCCACAGGUCGGCAUCGACCAGAGGGAAAAGGAGCAAUCCGCUUUGAGAUGGCCUCGCGUCCGAUUAGAUAGUUGGUGAGGUAACGGCUCACCAAGUCGACGAUCGGUAGCCGGACUGAGAGGUUGAACGGCCACAUUGGGACUGAGACACGGCCCAGACUCCUACGGGAGGCAGCAGUGGGGAAUAUUGCACAAUGGGCGAAAGCCUGAUGCAGCAAGCCGCGUGAGGGAAGACGGUUUUCGGAUUGUAAACCUCUGUUUUCGGUGACGAACAAAUGACGGUAACCGAGUAGGAAAACCACGGCUAACUACGUGCCAGCAAGCCCGCGGUAAAAGUAGUGACU